rnacentral:piRNA from 1 species
AGUGAGAAGAAGUUGGGAAUGUUAAAGC